UGAUGUUGGGGUAGUAGUGUAUCUAUUAGUGCAUGGCAUUUGUGAAGUAUUGCAACUGACGAAAUUCUUAAACCCUGAUUUUUCUAAAUGCUUUAUCUAGGAGUCGAACCAUUGCCAGUACCUUCAAUGUUAUGCCGAGGAUCUACGUUUUGCUGUGAUCGAGUUACGGCGUCAGAUAAAUGAGUAUGAAGCCGACUUGGAAAAUGAAAGAGCCGACAGGGCUAGAUUGUCAGCGCAGUUGGUAACAAGUGACACUACGAUUGCCAAUCUAAACAAAGCUGUUGAUGAUUUAACUGAAAAGAAUUCUUCUUUAAUGGCGCAAAAUGAAGACCUGGAGAAAAUUGCACACGAUUUGACGCAAUCAUAUGUUGUCCAAAUAGUCUAUAGAGGUGCGAUAUGUAUUGCAGGAUUUUGCAAAUGUUUCUACAGGCUAUUUCAGACAAGUAUCGGCUGGAUGAUCAGAGGGACGGAUAGGAAAGGAAUAAAAACCAAUUAGCCGCAUGUUGAUAUGAAUAUGUUAGACACUGACAUGGUACAUGUGUACCUUCUCAAGUAUAUACAUGUAUAUUUACUGUUAUAAUUAUAUUUUAAUAAAGUUUAAUCAGGACACACGCCGAGUAUCUUGCCGUCUUGUCUGGUGUUAAUAGAGACUAACUUUUUUUCGAAUGAACUUUAAAAAUCCUAAGCAGACGGCUUUUUAGGAGAGAUCAAGUUUCUCAGCAUGCAAAGCGUUUAAGAAAAGUAAAGUAUAUCCUGACCAAAGGGGAUAUAGUGUUUUAAUACAGAUACAUUGGCGCAGUUAUAUGAAUGACCAGAAUCUUCGUAUGUACAGAUAAUGAAUGUAUUAGUUAUUUUUCAUUUAUUUUUUCCUAUAACUUUGUAAUCAAAGAAUGGAUUGACUUCAUAUAAAAAACAACAUUCUUGAGGACAAGACCCUUACGUAUAUCAGACUCAAGUUGACCUUGACUCAUGUAUGACUCAUGUAUAAAAUUAUUGAAUUUUCACUGUUAUUGCUUUGAUUGACUGUACCUUUGUAAUUAAUCUAUAUGUAUAGAGUUUUCGCUUACUUCGACAAAACAACCUUCUGAAAAAGAAAAUGUUGAUCUGACCUUGAAAUGUACCUUUAAAUAACCUUGACCAUCAUGUCAAACAAUUGAAAUUUGGUUUAGUUGUCAUAAUUUUGUUAUAAAUGGACGGAUUUGAUCAUGAGUGGACAAGAAAUUAUCUGUGACGAAAUGGACAUGUUGCAAAGUAUAGAUAUGACCUUGACCUUUAAAUGACCUUGACAGUCAUAUGACAGUCAAAUGAUCGAAUUUUGCUUAUGUUUUCUUAACUUUGUCAUUUUGUUUAUGGAAAUGAUCUAUAUUUGGGCAAAAUAAAGAAUGUUACU